CACAACAGUAUUUCAAAGGAUGCAGCUCAGUGGAAGUUGGAUGAGGAAGCUAUACUUAGGGCCUCCCCAAAACAAAGGGUCCUAUGGCUUUUCUCCAGAGAUCAGAAAGGUGAUUUUUGUCUGAAGGGUGGAUUGGGGCAAAUUAGCCAGAUGAGCUGUAACCCCAACUGCCUACUUCUGGAGGAGGGGUUUGUAGCCUAGAAAGGGGACAGAAAAUCAAAUACAUUGCACUUGGCAGUGGCUGUUUAAAUUUGAGUAGUGAAAAGUGAGUAUUUGACCCUAUUCUGUGUCUUGUACAAGCUAUGUCCUGACAUUUGCUCCCACCACAGUAAAUAUUAGUUUUUCUCAUAAUUGACUAUUUAUCAGGUUUCGGUGGACAGGUGAGUAGCAGGCAAAUAAAAUGGGACACGUGAAGUUCAUGAACCGAGGGGCAUUGUCUAGGCAAAGCAAGAUCUCCUGUUUUCUUGCCCUGAAGAAGUAACAGCAAAAAGGAAACUGUUCAAUGAAGAUGUAAGAGACACAGGUGAGAGCAUCUUCUUCAUGACUGUAAGCUCCUGAAGGCCAAGGAUUAUAAUUGUUCAUGCCUGCAUCUCCACAGUAGGACCUGGCAUGUGCAAUGUAUGAAAGUUCCAGUUGCUCCACAUCUUUGCUGAUAUUUAGUGUUGUCAGUCUUUUUACUUUAAACCAUCCUGAGUUCUGCAGGAACAUCUGGCUGACUGGCAGUUACAUUUUCUGAAGGGAGGUGAUGACUAUUGCUACAAUUUUUUCAAGUUCUGCAGUUAUUAUUAGUCAAGUUUUCUAUGGGUAUGAGCAACUAUCAACUAUCAAGACUAUGGAACAACAACAACAAAAAAGGAAGCAAUAUCAAAUGUUUAUUUCUUGCUCAGGAAGUUAAGAAAUUUUUAUCUAUCUGUGAAAGAGAAAAAGAAAAAAUAAAAUUUGACAACGUAUGUAGUAUGGUUUUUGCAAGCCAAAUUGCCAGUGUGUCAGGAAGGGUUGUAUAAAAUAUCUGAAGCAUUAUGCUGGUGCCUAGAGGGAAGAGGUAAAGAUUCUCAGUUAAUAGUUCAUGAUCAACCACUUGAACUUGACUUCAGGAUAAACCUGUGAGUCCCCAGCUGGGAGAGGGCAUGUUUAACUUUAGUGCAGUUUGGAGAUAGAGCAUUCCUGGGGAGAACAAUACUUGGCACGUUAUAGGUAUAAAAUAAAUAUUUGUUGAUGACACAGCCGCACUGCCUCCAAAUCAACAUUCUCUCAGUUCACAAAUACUUUCAAAGGAAGAAAAUUUUAGAACACCAAUGAAUGGCUAUUUUCCCCUCUUAAUCUCUGAGAGAUCAUUGUUUCCUGUUUCCAUGGUAACUAGAAGACUAGAAAUUGCCAAAACUUCAGAGACACUUGAAAUGAAAGUCAGGGGGAAAAAAAAGGCAAAUGUUACAGGCAGCAUGUAUGACAAUGGGGCAAAGUUUUUGAAAUUUGGGAAGACUUUAUUUCUUUGCUUGAAAUAAUGCAAUAAUUUCCAGAACCUAGAGGUAAUACUUGAUGCCACACUACUGAAUGUUCAUUGAGGAAGUUUUAUUCUUUUCUUGAAAGGAGAGACCCAUGGGCCUUAGAAGCAAUCAAGUGAAGGUAAGCUGUUGGAAAUUGCUCUCCUGGCAAGCCUUAAUGUUAACCACAAUGAGGAGGCCAGUCUGUCUGAAGUGUCCUUGCUUCCUCCCUUGCAUGGCGUGAACAAAUAUUUAUUGAGCACCUACUUUCUGGGUAACCUAGCCUACACACAACUAAGUGAAAAAUUACAACUCUGAUAAGGGCUUCUAAAAGUACAUGUAACUAUUAGAACAUGUAAUAGGCAGAGCUGACCUGUCAAUAAGGCCAGGCCUUCCUAAGGAAGUAUGAUUAAGCUGAGUAGGAGGAAACUAGGCAGUGGUUGCCGGGCGUGGGGAGGAAGAACAUUCCAGGCAGUGGGAACUCUUGGGCAGAGGCCCUCUGGGGGAAGUAAGCCUCGAGAGUUCAAGGAACUGAAAACAGUCCUGAGCAGCCUGUGCUGGCAGAACCCCAGAGAGUAAGGGGAAUGAACUUGUGGCAUGGCCAGCUGGAGAAGUGAGCAGGAGCCAGGUCAUUGCCAAAACACAGCCUUGACUCUUGCAAGGUGGGUUUGUUAAAGACUUUGGUCUUUAUCCCUCCUCAUUCCAGGGUGAGCUUGGGCUGGUAACAGGAAGGCAUGACAGGCCCUUGUGUGUAUCUGGGAAUGACAGCUUCUGGUUCAUCUGAAGUCCAUCAGAAUAUUGCCAUAAAUUCCAGAUGUGAACCAUCAUGUUUCAAAGGAUUAUAAUUCAUUAAAUACUUUAAACCCAAAUCAUUUUCAAGAUAUAUUAUUUUGUGUAUAACAAUUCAGUGGACACCUCAGAGCAAUCAUUAUGACUUUCAAUUAUCAUCCUAUAUUAACCCCUCAGAAGCCAGCGUUUGCUCUCAUAACCUUCCCUUUGUUUGUGACCUAGCUGGAAUCCAGGAAAAGUCUGCAAGAAGCCAGAAUAAAUGUGACAAAGACCACAUAUAUUUUAACCAGAGGGUAGGUUCUCAUUAAGAACUACUUGAUCUUUCUUUUACAUAUUCUGAGUUCCAAGGCCACAGCAGAUGGGGAACAAUGAUUCAGAAAGGGAGAAGGUAUGGGGUGGUAUAUGACAAUAACUGAAACUAACAGGGACCGGAACAACUGUAGAGGAAGAGACAAAAAAAAAAAUGAGAAAGAAAAACACUAAAUAAAAAAUGAAGGAAGGAAGAAAGAAAGAAAGAAAAGGAAAGAAGGCAAGUAAUCUGGGGCUUUUAGUUAUGGACAAACUGUCUUGCAUGCCUUAGAUCUUGAGGGCAUCACUGUUUUUAUAAUGAGACCUUUUACUUAAGUAGUCAAGGAGGUGUUUUAGAAAGAUUUCUAGCCUACAGGGUAAGGGUUUUUAAAAGGAUUUUGGUACUUGAAGAGUGGAUCUUCAGUGAUUUGGGAAAAUUGUCUGUUCAGAAUGGUUCUUACAAAGGUUGUGUAUAAUUAUGGUUUUAUUGUAGUCCAGUGGAGGUGUUAGUUAAUAAAGGUUUCAGGCUGAAAAGUAUCCCACACACCAGCUUUUGCUGAGACUGCUUCGUUUUCACAAGUCAUCUAAUUCUGGGUUUGAACGAAGUCAUUGGAAGUGACACUUUUCAUAUCUAAAUUGUCAUGAUGCUAUUCUUGACAAGGAAUGAGUUCUUGAAUAUUUAAAAAUACUGUAGGUGAUAAAAUGCUCUUAAUAAAAACAUUUCAAAGUUUGCCUUUCACAGUUUUAACUUUAAUUUUCAUGCUUAACUCUUAAAUGCAAAUAAUCUUUCUCUAGGCAUAAGGUGCUCCCUAAAGUUACAUGGUUGUCUGAAUUGUAUGUCAUUACUGCCUCCAGAUGAGAGUGAGAAUGAACAAAAUAUAGUUUGAUCACCUUGGAAAAUGCUCAUGCUAUAUGUUUAUGAAAUGAUUUGGGGGAUUGACAUUGUUUUCUUCAAAUAUAUCCUCCAUACAUGUCAGAGCAUCUUUUUUCUCCCUAGAGAACAUGUUCAUACUGCAGUACCUAAUGUCCUAAUU